GACGAACGCUGGCGGCGUGCCUAAUACAUGCAAGUAGAACGCUGAAGGAGGAGCUUGCUUCUCCGGAUGAGUUGCGAACGGGUGAGUAACGCGUAGGUAACCUGCCUGGUAGCGGGGGAUAACUAUUGGAAACGAUAGCUAAUACCGCAUAAGAGUAGAUGUCGCAUGACAUUUGCUUAAAAGGUGCAACUGCACCACUACCAGAUGGACCUGCGUUGUAUUAGCUAGUUGGUGAGGUAACGGCUCACCAAGGCAACGAUACAUAGCCGACCUGAGAGGGGGAUCGGCCACACUGGGACUGGGACACGGCCCAGACUCCUACGGGAGGCAGCAGUAGGGAAUCUUCGGCAAUGGACGGAAGUCUGACCGAGCAACGCCGCGUGAGUGAAGAAGGUUUUCGGAUCGUAAAGCUCUGUUGUAAGAGAAGAACGAGUGUGAGAGUGGAAAGUUCACACUGUGACGGUAUCUUACCAGAAAGGGACGGCUAACUACGUG
rnacentral:rRNA from 1 species